UCCUCUGGAGAGCUCACCAUCAUGUCUUCAUUUCUCUUUCUCCUUGUUCUUUUUCUUUACUGCUCAGGUAAAGCUGUGGAGAAGAUCUCAUAUUCCCUUGGCCAACAGAAAGCUAAUAGCAUUUAUCAUAUUUUUUUUAUUUGAGAACAGUGAAAAUGUUAUUUUUUCUCAUUUUUUUUAAAACAGGUGUCAACUGCCAAUCAAUUUGCACUCAGCCUGCCUCUGAGUCUGUGGUGCCGGGUCAAACCAUUAAACUCUCCUGUACAACUAGUGAUACUGGCGACGCUGUUCGCUGGUAUCAACAGAGAUCAGGGCAGGUCCCUCGAUUUGUGCAGUAUGAGGGUAGCAGCAGGGGAGAAGGGAUCCCAGAUCGAUUCACAGCUUCUCGCUCUGGGAACAUUGGCUAUUUAACCAUCACCAACGUCCAGGCUGGAGAUGAGGCCGUUUAUUACUGUUGCAGAUGGUAUAGCAGUGCUAGUGGGU